rnacentral:misc_RNA from 1 species
UUUUUCCCCCCCCCCCCAUCAGAAUCCGUGCUAGAAACGAUGAUGUUGGUGUCGCACAUUAGACUUGUGUUUAAAUAGAGCUUUUGCUCGUGAACCAAAUAUGGUGGGCUGGGUUGUCUUUGCGGAAACGCUUAGGUGACUUGUCUACGAAUUGUAAUCAUAAUAUGCGUGACGGUGAAUCCUUUGCAGACGACUUGAAUGGGAACGGGGUACUGUAAGUGGUAGAGUAGCCUUGUUGCUACGAUCCACUGAGGUUAAGCCCUUGUUCUAAAGAUUUGUUCAACUUUGUUGGACUUUCUCUUUCUCUUUUUUUCUUUACAUGCUGAAUGGUGAGGGCCGGGAUAGUAUCCUUUGUGCACUCCCAACAGCAUGUUUCGAACUUGUAAAGCUAACGUUUUCGUUACCUUUCUUGUAAGAAUCAUGAGGUAGAAGGGGUCUGGUUAGCAAGCUUUCUUUCUUUGAACGCGCGCUGACUCUUUACCUUGUACUUGGAUAUCGGCCUUAUGGUCGAUAUUCGGUAUAUGGUAUAGCCAAAGGACUCCUAAAAAGGCAUUCAGUGCGACUGGAUUGCCUUUUUUAGGCCUUGAAAUCGUCUUUGGGACUAAGUAAGCUAAGCUAUGGUUACUUUUGUAACCGUUGCGACUGUUUGCUUGGGUUUCAAGGUGAAUUGAAGGGUAACUGGUACUGAACUGAAAGGUUUACUAAGUUUACUAAGUAAACCAUUCAUCAAGUCCGGUUUGUGAUAAUCUUGGGGGCUCUAAAGCGUGUUUUCUAAGAGCUGGGACUAUAGUUGAGUGGUAACGAAACGCUAUACGCUUCCAUU